UACGGAGGAUGCGAGCGUUAUCCGGAUUUAUUGGGUUUAAAGGGUGCGCAGGCGGUUUAUUAAGUCAGCGGUGAAAGCGUGUGGCUCAACCAUACCAAGCCGUUGAAACUGGUUAACUUGAGUGCAAACGAGGUAGGCGGAAUGUAACGUGUAGCGGUGAAAUGCUUAGAUAUGUUACAGAACUCCGAUUGCGAAGGCAGCUUACCAGCAUGCAACUGACGCUCAGGCACGAAAGCGUGGGUAUCAAACA
rnacentral:rRNA from 1 species